rnacentral:lncRNA from 1 species
GGGGCGGGAGGAUCUCAGGUGGCUGGCGCCGAGCCUGAGGGACCGGGCGCCCCCCGAGCUGUCCCGGGCGGGGUACUGGACCCUGGACGAGGGAAGAUCGGAGCAGGUGGGUGUCCCUGCGGUGUCAGCGGCCCGGGACUCGCAGCGGGGAAGAGCCUGAGGGAGUGGAAAGGACCUGGGCGGGAGUGCGGAAGUUCUGGAAAACUGGGUUGUCGGUACCCGCUGCACGGAGAGGUACCAUCUGACUAGUCUCAGUUUGAGAGAACUGGGAACAGACAAAGCGGCACUACAUGUCUCUUGUGAUUUCUAAGCUGAAAUAUCUAUAUUGUUUUUCUCCCAUCCUUUGUAACUAGAAAGAAAAAAAUGGAAACGUUUGCUUAUGUUUUGUUUCAUAUUAUUAUUACUACUGUUCAUU